AUGUUGCGAGUUCAGCACAAUCAAAGAUAUCUUUCUUCAUUUAAUAAAGGUGUCCGUGUGCGGGAUUAAAAUGUAAUCUAACCUCGUUUUGGAAGACCCAACUUGGGUCA